GACGAACGCUGGCGGCGUGCUUAACACAUGCAAGUCGAACGAAGAGCGAUGGAAGCUUGCUUCUAUCAAUCUUAGUGGCGAACGGGUGAGUAACGCGUAAUCAACCUGCCCUUCAGAGGGGGACAACAGUUGGAAACGACUGCUAAUACCGCAUACGAUCUAAUCUCGGCAUCGAGGAUAGAUGAAAGGUGGCCUCUACAUGUAAGCUAUCACUGAAGGAGGGGAUUGCGUCUGAUUAGCUAGUUGGCGGGGUAACGGCCCACCAAGGCGAUGAUCAGUGGCCGGUCUGAGAGGAUGAACGGCCACAUUGGGACUGAGACACGGCCCAGACUCCUACGGGAGGCAGCAGUGGGGAAUCUUCCGCAAUGGACGAAAGUCUGACGGAGCAACGCCGCGUGAGUGAUGACGGCCGUCGGGUUGUAAAGCUCUGUUAAUCGGGACGAAAGGCCUUCUUGCGAAUAGUGAGAAGGAUUGACGGUACCGGAAUAGAAAGCCACGGCUAACUACGUG
rnacentral:rRNA from 1 species